GACGUCGAUAUUCGACGUCAUAAACACGUUCAACUUUGGUGUUUAUGACGUCGAUAUUCGACGUCAUAAACACGAUCAACUUUGGUGUUUAUGACGUCGAUAUACGACGUCAUAAACACGAUCAACUUCGGUGUUGAUGACGUCCAUAUUUGACGUC